GUAUUUUUGUUUCAUAAAUGAAGUAAAGGAGGUAAAUAAACCUGAGUAAAUGGCAGAACCAAGACCCACCAGUCUUAGCUAUUACAACAUUGUAAUUGCUAUGUUGCAUUUUUUUCCAAAGCAGAGACAAAAAACACUGAAUUAUUGAACCCUGUGAUAAACAAUGCAGUUAGCAGGAAGUUAGGAGUAUGAUACAACUUAUCAAGAAGAAAUAAUCACAACAGGCAGAUCUUCUGUUAAUCUUUACUUUUGAGUAAGACUAUAGUAAGGUAUUUCUUUAUAAAUAUUUGCAUCAUACUUAUGUAACCAUCCUGUAGACAAUUAAUAAAUAAAAUGAAAGUUUUCUACUUAGUGGUUUGCCUAAGGAUGUUAUGAUAGUUCUAACAUCAUUGUCUUGCUCUAUUAGGGAUUAACAGGACCUGAUGGAUCCCCUGGCUCCAUUGGGUCAAAGGGACAAAAAGGAGAACCUGGUGUGCCUGGAUCGCGUGGAUUUCCAGUAAGUAAAUGUAAAGCUACAGAAUUGAAAAUUUC
rnacentral:lncRNA from 1 species